GAGCCGAGAUCGCGCCACUGCACUCCAGCCUGGGCGACAGAGCGAGACUCCGUCUUAAAAAAAAAACACAAAAACCUCAGCAGAAUGAAUAUCCAAUUAUGGAUAUACUGUAUCCCGGCAGCCUGCCUCCAGAACUCUGGGUGAACUCAGAUGAGCCUCCAGGACCGCCUGAGCAAGUUGGACUUUGUCAAUUCCAUCUAGAGCCCGAAACUCAAAAUCCAGAGACCCUUGAAGACAUCCAGUCCUCUUCGCUCCAGCAACAAGCCCCAGUGCAGCUUCCACAGCUCUCUGAGGAGGAACCUUCUCUAACCCAUCAGGAGGCCCCAGCUCUGCCUUCACAGUCUCUUCAGGGGGUCUACUCUUCUUCAACAGAGCAGGAGGCCCCAGGACAGCAGCGACCUGCCUCUGAAGAGUUUGUAGCUCCGCCAUUGAUACACCACGAGGUAAAUGUUCCAUUGAAAAGUUGGAGUGAAGCUCAGCACUCAUGCCCGCCCAAUGUCACAGUCAAACCUGUGGAUAUGGAGCUUGCAGUAACUCUAGAGCCAGCAGGAGGCUGCAGCUGAGCGUCCACAGACCCCUAAGGAGGUUGAGUCUUCUCUAAUCCAGUAGGAGGCCCCAGCUCAGACUCCAGAGCUCCCUAAUGAAGUUGUAGCUCAACCUCCAGAGCAUCAUGAGGUAACAGUUUCCCCUCUAAGUCAUGAUCAAGUUUAGCCUCCAACAUUGCACAAUGCCACUGUUAAACCUGUGGAUCACGUGGUUACCAUGACUCCAGAUAUCACUAAUCAGGUUGAAAUUUUAACCCAACAGGGGGCCCCAGCUCAGCCCUUAAUGUCUCCUGAGCAGUUUCAACAUUUGAAAUACCAGCAAGAGAUUAUAAUUCAGCAGCUAAAUACCCCUGAAAAUGAUGAACUUACUCCAGUCCAUCAAGAGCCCACAACUCAGUCUCCAACUCAGCUCUCCUCAGACUUUGAAAGUUCAUUGAAUGAUGAGAUGAUACUUUCACUUCUAGAUCUGUCUUCAGUAUUCAGAAGUAAUUCAACUUUGCCUAAUACCACAGUUAAAAAUGUGGAUAUGGAGCUUACCAUACCUGCAGCGUCACUAUGGAAGUUGAACCUUCUCCAGUCCAGCAGGACAACCCUUCUAUUCCCACUGAGCAGGCUGACUUUUCUCUAGCCCAGCCUGAUCUCCCUUCCCCACCUCUGCAUUCUCCUGAAAAGGUUAAAUCUCCAGUCCAGCAAGAGGCCACAGCUCAGACUUCAGAUUCCCCUAAGGAGGUAGAACCUUCUCCAGUCCAGCAAGAGUUUCCAGCUGAGCCACCAGAGCCCCCUAAGGAGGUUGAACCAUCUGCAACCCAGCAGGAAGCCUCAGGUCAUCCUCCAAAGUCCACUGAAGAGGUCAGUCCUCCACUGCAGCAGGAGAUACCAGCUCAGCCAUCAGAGCCACCUGAGAAGGUCGAACCAUCUCCAGUCCUAUAGCAGGCCCCAACUCAGCUUUUAGAGCCCCUUAAAGAGGUAGAAUCCUCUCCAGUCCAGCAGGCAGUCCCUGCUCAGUCUUCAGACCCCCACUAUGGUGAUAGAACCUUCUCUGACCCAGCAGAUGGCCCCAUCUUUGCCUCCAGAGUUCCCUCAGGAGGUAGAACCAUCUCUAACUCAGCAGGAGGUUCCAGCUCAGAUUCCAGAGCCCCCUAUGGAGGCAGAACCUUCUCCAACCCAGCAGGAGACCACAGUUCAGACUCCAGAGCCCCCUAAGGAGGUAGAACCUUCAAGCCAGCAGAUGGUCCCAUCUCAGCCUCCAGAGCCACCUAAGGAGGUUGCAGCUCAACCUCCAGCUCAUUAUGAGGUGACAGUUCCAACACAAGGUCAGGAUCAAGCUCAGCAUUCAAUAUUGCCCAGUAUCACAGUUCAACCUUUGGACCUGGGACUUACCAUCACUCCAGAAUCCACUACGGAGGUUGAACUUUCUCCAAUCGUCCAGGAGACCCCAACUCAGCCUCCUAAGAAAGUUGUAGCACAACUUCCAGUAUAUCAAGAGGUAACAGUUCCAACACCAGGUCAGGAUCAAGCUCAGCAUCCAAUGUCACCCAGCAUUACAGUUCAACCUUUGGACUGGGACUUACCAUCACUCCAGAACCCACUACGGAGGUUGGACAUUCUAUACCCCUGAAGAAGACUCUAGUUCCUCCAAAGCACCCUAAGGUGACACUUCCACAUCCAGACCAGGUUCAGAUCCAGCAUUCAAACCUGACUCAAGUCACAGUUGAACCUCUGGACCUGGAGCGUACCAUAACUACAGAACCUACUACAGAGGUUAAACUGUCUCCAACCACAGAGGAGACCUCAACUCAGCCUCCAGACCCAGGACUUGCCAUAACUCCAGAACCCACUACAGAGAUUGGACAUUCUACAGCCCUGGAGAAAACUACAGCUCCUCAUCCAGAUCAGCUUCAGACUCUGCAUCGAAAACUGACUGAAGUCACAGGUCCACCUACUGAGCUAGAACCUACUCAGGAUUCAUUGGUGCAGUCUGAAAGUUACAUCCAAGAUAAGGCUUUAACUGCACCAGAGGAACAGAAGGCCUCCACAAGCACCAACAUAUGUGAGCUCUGUACCUGCGGAGAUGAGAUGUUGUCAUGUAUUGAUCUCAACCCAGAGCAGAGGCUCCGCCAAGUGCCUGUGCCAGAGCCCAACACCCACAAUGGCACCUUCACCAUCUUGUAAGAAUCACCUUUCCUCAAUUGUCCUCUGUGUCCUGCCUGACAUGGCAGCCUUUUCCUGGAGGCCUUCCUGGGCCACCUUUAUCUCCCAAAGCCAUAGGGACAACUGACUUUCUGCUUUCACCUUUGCUUGUCAACUCUUCCUUCUCCUCAUUCUCUUUUACUGUUAGGCCCCUUCUCCACUCUUUUACUUGUGAUUGCUC
rnacentral:lncRNA from 1 species